ACCCACAAUUAAAACCGAUGAUAUCAGUUUCCUCUCCUCCAUUGCUAAAGAACUGCUUUUUUUUUUUUUACCUAUCUCGUAAUUAUGACAGUGCAAAAUUAGCAUAGAAACAACAUUCUAAGUUGAAUCUACAAUAGAGUACAAGCACUAAAAAGAAAUUGGUUUUAACAAACGCUCUCUACGAUCAAGUCUGGGUUUUCUCCUUCAACAAUUGUGACCAAAGGGAUGUGGAGGAGUGUAGAAUAAGGGCCUAAAAGGUCACUCUAGAAACUUCCAAUGGUUCAUUUAUCUUGAGCUCUUCAAUGAAAUGCGUCAGAGUUGCCGGGAACAAGUAGCUGCUAAAGAUUUCAGCCCCAAAAAUCUGUGUUGAUAAAUUACUGCUGCUCAUGUUGCCAAAAUAAAAGAACGAACUUAGGAGAUGAAAGGACAAAAUAAUCAAUGACUCUGAAGGCAAAGAACAGGAGAGAAAAACAUGUUCCAUUUGUUGAAAUGAUGACAAGCAAGUUACAGAGUUAAUAGGGUCAGAAGAAGAGAAUUGUAAAGCGAUAAGAAGAUAUAUAUACUUGUAGUGAAGAAGUUGUUUGAAAUUAUGAUCCAUAGACACAAAGAUAGAGAUUGGCUUGAUCAUGUUUCAACAUCAGAAAGCCUGUGCUUUUUCCAUCCAAUCCGAGGAGUGAUCCAAUGCGACAGAUUAUGUUAUGAUCAAAUUUGUAAGAUCAUAUGUUGUGUUUGGUACUUUAAUACUAUAUGUUCCAUGCAAAUUUAAUGUU